rnacentral:rRNA from 1 species
UACAGAGGUCUCAAGCGUUGUUCGGAUUUACUGGGCGUAAAGGGCGCGUAGGCGGUCAGCACAAGUCAGUUGUGAAAUCUCCGGGCUUAACUCGGAAAGGUCAACUGAUACUGUGCGACUAGAGUGCAGAAGGGGCAACUGGAAUUCUCGGUGUAGCGGUGAAAUGCGUAGAUAUCGAGAGGAACACCUGCGGCGAAGGCGGGUUGCUGGGCUGACACUGACGCUGAUGCGCGAAAGCGUGGGGAGCAAACAGG